CUACGGGGCGCAGCAGUGAGGAAUAUUGCACAAUGGGGGGAACCCUGAUGCAGCAACGCCGCGUGGAGGAUGACGCAUUUCGGUGUGUAAACUCCUUUUAUAUGUCAAGAAAAUGACGGUAGCAUAUGAAUAAGCACCGGCUAACUCCGUGCCAGCAGCCGCGGUAAUACGGAGGGUGCAAGCGUUACUCGGAAUCACUGGGCGUAAAGGACGCGUAGGCGGGUUGGAAAGUCAGGUGUGAAAUCCUACAGCUUAACUGUAGAACUGCACUUGAAACUUCUAAUCUAGAGUAUGGGAGGGGGAGAUGGAAUUUGUGGUGUAGGGGUAAAAUCCGUAGAUAUCACUAGGAAUACCUGAAGCGAAGGCGAUCUCCUGGAACAUUACUGACGCUAAGGCGUGAAAGCGUGGGGAGCAAACAGGAUUAGAUACCCCCGUAGUC
rnacentral:rRNA from 1 species